rnacentral:rRNA from 1 species
ACCUGACCCAGCAACGCCGCGUGAAGGAUGAAAUCCCUCGGGAUGUAAACUUCGCAAGAACGGGAAGAAUAAGCCGGUGUUAACACCAUCGGUGAUGACGGUACUGUUUGUAAGCUCCGGCUAACUCCGUGCCGGCAGCCGCGGUAAUACGGGGGGAGCAAGCGUUGUUCGGAUUUACUGGGCGUAAAGGGCGCGUAGGCGGCCUCUGCAAGUCGACUGUGAAAUCUCCGGGCUUAACCCGGAACGGUCAGCCGAUACUGCAGGGCUAGAGUGCAGAAGGGGCAACUGGAAUUCUCGGUGUAGCGGUGAAAUGCGUAGAUAUCGAGAGGAACACCUGCGGCGAAGGCGGGUUGCUGGGCUGACACUGACGCUGAGGCGCGAAAGCUAGGGGAGCGAACGGGAUUAGAUACCCCGGUAGUCCUAGCCUUAAACGAUGAAUGCUUGGUGUCUGGGGUUUUAUAGUCCCCGGGUGCCGUCGCUAACGCUUUAAGCAUUCCGCCUGGGGAGUACGGUCGCAAGACUG